rnacentral:rRNA from 1 species
CAGUCGCCGCGGUAAUACAGAGGGUGCGAGCGUUAAUCGGAUUUACUGGGCGUAAAGCGUGCGUAGGCGGCUUCUUAAGUCGGAUGUGAAAUCCCUGAGCUUAACUUAGGAAUUGCAUUCGAUACUGGGAAGCUAGAGUAUGGGAGAGGAUGGUAGAAUUCCAGGUGUAGCGGUGAAAUGCAUAGAGAUCUGGAGGAAUACCGAUGGCGAAGGCAGCCAUCUGGCCUAAUACUGACGCUGAGGUACGAAAGCAUGGGGAGCAAACAGGAUUAGAUACCCCCGUAGUCCCUGUCUCUUAUAC